CCUACGGGGGACAGCAGUGAGGAAUAUUGGUCAAUGGCCGAGAGGCUGAACCAGCCAAGUCGCGUGAGGGAAGACGGCCCUACGGGUUGUAAACCUCUUUUGUAGGGGAGUAAAGCGAGACACGUGUGACUCAUUGAGAGUACCCGAAGAAAAAGCAUCGGCUAACUCCGUGCCAGCAGCCGCGGUAAUACGGAGGAUGCGAUGGUUAAUCGGAUUUACGGGGCGUAAAGCGUGCGUAGGCGGUUUGUCAAGUCAAGGGUGAAAUUCUGGCGGUCAACGUGGGAACUGCCUUUGAAACUGGCAAACUUGAGUGUGUGUGAGGUUAGUGGAAUGCCAGGUGUAGGAGUGAAAUCCGUAGAUAUCAUGAGGAACAUCAGUGGCGAAGGCGACUAUCUGGCACAUUACUGACGCUGAGGAGCGAAAGCGUGGGUAGCAAACAGGAUUAGAUACCCGGGUAGUC
rnacentral:rRNA from 1 species